rnacentral:rRNA from 1 species
CGGCGGACGGGUGAGUAACACGUGGGUAACCUACCUAUAAGACUGGGACAACUUCGGGAAACCGGAGCUAAUACCGGAUAAGAUAUCGAACCGCAUGGUUCGAUAGUGAAAGAUGGUUUUGCUAUCACUUAUAGAUGGACCCGCGCCGUAUUAGCUAGUUGGUGAGGUAACGGCUCACCAAGGCAACGAUACGUAGCCGACCUGAGAGGGUGAUCGGCCACACUGGAACUGAGACACGGUCAGACUCCUACGGGAGGCAGCAGGU